rnacentral:lncRNA from 1 species
ACAAUGAUGAAGAUCUCAUCAGGAUCUUGGCUACAAGGAGCAAAGCACAGAUCAAUGCGACUCUGAAUCAAUAUAAGAAUGUAUAUGGGAAUGAUAUUGAUCAGGACUAAGAGGCUGACCCUAAAGAUGAGUACCUCGACCUACUGAGGGCCACAGUUCAGUGCUUAGUCCACCCUGAACAUUAUUUUGAGAAGAUACUUCAUCUGGCAAUUAACAAACAGGGAACAGAUGAAGGGGCUCUUACUAGAGUCGUCACCACAUGGGCCGAGGUCGACUUGAAGGUCAUAAAAGAUGAGUACCAGAGGAACGGUGUUCCUCUGGAUCGUGCCGUUGUCAAGGACACCUCUGGGGACUACGAAAAAAUGCUUCUGGCACUGUUAGGACAUGGGGAUGCUUGAGUUGUUCCCUAUUUCUUGAAGGAUUGAGAGACAAAUAUGUGUUUUAUUUAUCUAGGUUUGCUGUUGCUUGAGUUUGCAGAGUUCUCCAUCCAUGUUUGAUGAUCGUUUUAUUUUCCGUCUUUUGGUUAUGCCGGUUGAAAAACUUAAUCUAUGAGCGCUUCAGUUAUCUCAUAUAUAUUCAAAAUAAUAUCUGAUUUAUAUAUGCAUCUAAAUGGUGGUUGGUUUGUGAUUAGCAACUUGAUGCUUGAGUGUGUGAUGAUCUAAUUCUAAUGCCCCUGAAGCAGAUGAUGUUGCAAUGUAACAACUUAUAUGGGUAGAAACUUUUGGUUUUGAUAGAAAUAAAAAUUUUUCUUUUGCUUCAUUGUUUUGAGUCUCAUGUGCUAAUAAUGCUUGAUUCAAUUGAUUGGAAAACAAAUUUUGUGACCAGAGUAAUGCCAGUACUGCUUGAAACUAGUUCUGAGUCACAAUGAAAGAUACUUUGGUUGGUGGGUGAAAACUGGAUGUGGAAAGGCAGUAUGUGAAAGAGAUCAGUUACUUAUAAUGAUUUAGUAGCUUACUAUAUGAAAGUCUAACUUGGAAUUCUGGAAUUGCCCUCUUUUUUUUUAUUUGUCAGAGGAUUCUUGUAGUCUUACGUAGUUUUCUCAUUUUAUCUCAUUUGUCUUUCUGCAUUACAUGUUCAAUGAAGUCAUCAUUUUUUAAGCAUUGUGAUUGACUGACUUCAUUGUAUAUUCAUGUACACUAGCUUUUGCUACCCCUUGUGACUGCCUACCGAUAUGAGGGUGAUGAGGUGAACAUUACACUUGCAAAAUCAGAAGCUAAGAUUCUCCAUGAGAAGAUUUCUAAUAAGGCUUACAAUGAUGAGGAUCUCAUCAGGAUCUUGGCUACAAGGAGCAAAGCACAGAUCAAUGCGACUCUGAAUCAAUACAAGAAUGUAUAUGGGAAUGAUAUUGAUCAGGUACCCAUUUGGUCUUUGAACGCUAUGUUUGGCCAGAUAUUUUCUGAAAGCUUAUUUUUCCUCUUCUUUAAAACUUUUGGCUCCGGAUCUUCUUCUAAAAUUUAAUCUAUGUAUCUUUUCUGUGGUAAUUGAGGCCAACUGAUUGACCUCAUGGAUUCUUUUUCGCAUUUUCAAUUAAAAUUUUGAUUUCAACAGUUUGUUUUUACUGUUUAUGAUAGAAUAAAAGAAUAAUUGGAAACCAUUUCAAGAAUGAAAUAAGAUUAUUUGGUAAAACAUUUGUGGUCUUGAGGAGGGCUUUCACCACCUGAUAAGCCAUAUCUCUUUUAGGUUUAUUUUUGACUAAUCGCAUUAGUAUCCUAUUUGCAGGACUUAGAGGCUGACCCUAAAGAUGAGUACCUCGACCUACUGAGGGCCACAGUUCAGUGCUUAGUCCGCCCUGAACAUUAUUUUGAGAAGAUACUUCGUCUGGCAAUUAACAAACAGGGAACAGAUGAAGGGGCUCUUACUAGAGUCGUCACCACAAGGGCCGAGGUCGACUUGAAGGUCAUAAAAGAUGAGUACCAGAGGAGGAACAGUGUUCCUCUGGAUCGCGCCGUUGUCAAGGACACCUCUGGGGACUACGAAAAAAUGCUUCUGGCACUUUUAGGACAUGGGGAUGCUUGAGUUGUUCCCUAUUUCUUGAAGGAUUGAGAGGCAAUAUAUGUGUUUUAUUUAUCUAGGUUUGCUGUUGCUUGGAGUUUGCAGUGCUCUCUAUCCAUGUGUGAUGAUCGUUUUAUUUUCAGUCUUUUGGUUAUGCCGGUUGAAAAACAUAAUCUAUGAUCUUAUAAAUAAGAUGGUGACAGCAUUUG